GAUGAAGAACGCAGCGAAAUGCGAUAAGUAGUGUGAAUUGCAGAAUUCAGUGAAUCAUCGAAUCUUUGAACGCACAUUGCACCCCUUGGUAUCCCGAGGGGCAUGCCUGUUCGAGCGUCAUUUCACCACUCAAGCCUGGCUUGGUGUUGGGCGACGUCCCCUUUGGGGACGCGCCUCGAAACGCUCGGCGGCGUGGCACCGGCUUUAAGCGUAGCAGAAUCUUUCGCUUUGGAAGUCGGGGCCCCGUCUGCCGGAAGACCUACUCGCAAGGUUGACCUCGGAUCAGGCAGGGAUACCCGCUGAACUUAAGCAUAUCAAUAAGCGGAGGA
rnacentral:misc_RNA from 1 species